rnacentral:rRNA from 1 species
UGCUGAUUUGCUGACGAGUGGCGGACGGGUGAGUAAUGUCUGGGAAACUGCCUGAUGGAGGGGGAUAACUACUGGAAACGGUAGCUAAUACCGCAUAACGUCGCAAGACCAAAGAGGGGGACCUUCGGGCCUCUUGCCAUCGGAUGUGCCCAGAUGGGAUUAGCUAGUAGGUGGGGUAACGGCUCACCUAGGCGACGAUCCCUAGCUGGUCUGAGAGGAUGACCAGCCACACUGGAACUGAGACACGGUCCAGACUCCUACGGGAGGCAGCAGUGGGGAAUAUUGCACAAUGGGCGCAAGCCUGAUGCAGCCAUGCCGCGUGUAUGAAGAAGGCCUUCGGGUUGUAAAGUACUUUCAGCGGGGAGGAAGGGAGUAAAGUUAAUACCUUUGCUCAUUGACGUUACCCGCAGAAGAAGCACCGGCUAACUCCGUGCCAGCAGCCGCGGUAAUACGGAGGGUGCAAGCGUUAAUCGGAAUUACUGGGCGUAAAGCGCACGCAGGCGGUUUGUUAAGUCAGAUGUGAAAUCCCCGGGCUCAACCUGGGAACUGCAUCUGAUACUGGCAAGCUUGAGUCUCGUAGAGGGGGGUAGAAUUCCAGGUGUAGCGGUGAAAUGCGUAGAGAUCUGGAGGAAUACCGGUGGCGAAGGCGGCCCCCUGGACGAAGACUGA